AUUGAACGCUGGCGGCAGGCCUAACACAUGCAAGUCGAGCGAGCGGCGGACAGGUGAGUAAUGUCUGGGAAACUGCCUGAUGGAUGGGGAUAACUCCUGUAAACGGUAGCUAAUACCGCAUACCAUCAGAUGUGCCCAGAUGGGAGUAGCUAGUGGGUGGGGUAACGGCUCUCCUAGGCGACGAUCCCUAGCUGGUCUGAGAGGAUGACCAGCCACACCGGAACUGAGAAACGGGCCAGACGCCUACGGUAGGCAGCAGUGGGGAAUAUUGCACAAUGGGCGCAAGCCUGAUACAGCCAUGCCGCGUGUGUGAAGAAGGCCUUCGGGUUGUAAAGCACUUUCAGCGGGGAGGCGUUACCCGCAGAAGAAGCACCGGCUAACUCCGUGCCAGCAGCCGCGGUAAUUC
rnacentral:rRNA from 1 species